UACGUAGGGUGCGAGCGUUGUCCGGAAUUAUUGGGCGUAAAGAGCUUGUAGGCGGUCUGUCGCGUCUGCUGUGAAAAUCCGGGGCUCAACCCCGGACUUGCAGUGGGUACGGGCAGACUAGAGUGUGGUAGGGGAGACUGGAAUUCCUGGUGUAGCGGUGAAAUGCGCAGAUAUCAGGAGGGAACACCCGAUGGCGAAGGCAGGUCU
rnacentral:rRNA from 1 species